GAGGGGAGGUUAACCAACAAGAACUGCUAAUCCUUGCACCCGAGCCUAAAACCUCGGUCCCCUUA
rnacentral:tRNA from 1 species